GACGAACGCUGGCGGCGUGCCUAAUACAUGCAAGUCGAACGCAGUGGGGACGGGUGAGUAACACGUGGGUAACCUCCCAUCAGAGGGGAUAACACUUGGAAACAGGUGCUAAACCGAUACUGAUGGAUGGACCCGCGGUGCAUUAGCUAGUUGGUGAGGUAACGGUUCACCAAGGCCACGAUGCAUAGCCGGCCGGAGAGGGUGAUCGGCCACACUGGGACUGAGACACGGCCCAGACUCCUACGGGAGGCAGCAGUAGGGAAUAUUCGGCAAUGGGCGCAAGUCUGACCGAGCAACGCCGCGUGAGUGAAGAAGGUUUUCGGAUCGUAAAGUUCUGUUGGUAGAGAAGCGUUAUCUAACCAGGAAGCAACGGCUAACUACGUGCCAGCAGCCGCGGUAAUAC
rnacentral:rRNA from 1 species